CCGAACCUGCCCAGCAGAACGACCCGCGAACAUGUUCAUAAACCGAGGGGUCCAAAGCCGGCAACUGCCAGCAUUGGCCCUUCACAAGGCCUUUAAUCAGGGCAAUCCGGUGCGGAGGCCUGGCCUUCUCCCGGCUGCCUUGGUCUUGGCCUGCUAACAAACCCCCGGCGCGGAAAGCGCCAAGGAAUUGCAAAAAAGAAGAUCGGCCACCCCGAUUGUCCCGGAAACGGUGUGCAAAAGGGAUGUGCUGUGAUUUGAGAAUCUAAACGACUCUCGGCAACGGAUAUCUCGGCUCUCGCAUCGAUGAAGAACGCAGCGAAAUGCGAUACUUGGUGUGAAUUGCAGGAUCCCGCGAACCAUCGAGUUUUUGAACGCAAGUUGCGCCCGAAGCCUUUUGGCCGAGGGCACGUCUGCCUGGGUGUCACUCAACGUCGCCCCAACCCCCUCCUUUUGGAAUGGGGGGCGGAAGAUGGCCUCCCGCGCGCUAAAUGCUUGCGGUUGGCCCAAAUUUCCGGUCCUCGGCACAGACGCCACGGCAAUCGGUGGUUGCACGACCCUCGCUAAAUGCUGUGAGCGAUCUGGUGCCGACGCGGCCUUCGAGUCCCCGGAGCGUAUCGGAAGAUGCGCUUGCAGUGCGACC
rnacentral:rRNA from 1 species